rnacentral:rRNA from 1 species
AUACUGCAAGUCGGACGCUUCUUUCCUCCCGAGUGCUUGCACUCAAUUGGAAAGAGGAGUGGCGGACGGGUGAGUAACACGUGGGUAACCUACCCAUCAGAGGGGGAUAACACUUGGAAACAGGUGCUAAUACCGCAUAACAGUUUAUGCCGCAUGGCAUAAGAGUGAAAGGCGCUUUCGGGUGUCGCUGAUGGAUGGACCCGCGGUGCA